AAAUUGACCAAAUUUUAUUUUCUAUCUUCUGAUAGAGAAGUACCAUACUUGGGUCAAGAGUAUAUGAGUAGCUGCACUCCCCUGCUAGAACCUCCAUACAAGCUCUCAAGGAAUGUGGUAUAAACAGCAAGGCAUAGGAUGUUAAGAAAAUAAUGCUUUUUAUUAUUUUUU
rnacentral:snRNA from 1 species